rnacentral:rRNA from 1 species
GUGAGGAAUUUUCCGCAAUGGGCGAAAGCCUGACGGAGCAAUGCCGCGUGAAGGAUGAAGGCCUAUGGGUUGUAAACUUCUUUUCUCAGAAAAGAAUUAUGACGGUAUCUGAGGAAUAAGCAUCGGCUAACUCUGUUCCAGCAGCCGCGGUAAGACAGAGGAUGCAAGCGUUAUCCGGAAUGAUUGGGCGUAAAGCGUCUGUAGGUUGUUUAAAAUGUAUUCUGUCAAAGAUUAGGGCUUAACCCUAGAUAGGCAGAAUAAACUUUUAAGCUAGAGUUUGGUAGAGGCAGAGGGAAUUCCCGGUGGAGCGGUGAAAUGCGUAGAUAUCGGGAGGAACACCAAAGGCGAAGGCACUCUGCUGGGCCAAUACUAACACUGAGAGACGAAAGCGAGGGGAGCAAAUGGGAUUAGAUACCCUAGUAGUCC